UACGAAGGGGGCUAGCGUUGCUCGGAAUCACUGGGCGUAAAGCGCACGUAGGCGGCUUGCUAAGUCAGGGGUGAAAUCCUGGAGCUCAACUCCAGAACUGCCUUUGAUACUGGCGAUCUCGAGUCCGGGAGAGGUGAGUGGAACUGCGAGUGUAGAGGUGAAAUUCGUAGAUAUUCGCAAGAACACCAGUGGCGAAGGCGGCUCACUGGCCCGGUACUGACGCUGAGGCACGAAAGCGUGGGGAGCAAACAGG
rnacentral:rRNA from 1 species